rnacentral:misc_RNA from 1 species
UCCGACUUAACGUCGGCAGUCCCUUUAGAGUGCCCAACUGAAUGCUGGCAACUAAAGGCGAGGGUUGCGCUCGUUGCGGGACUUAACCCAACAUCUCACGACACGAGCUGACGACAGCCAUGCAGCACCUACCAAGCGACCCCGAAGGGCUACCCUAUCUCUAGAGUAUUCCACUUGAUUUCAAGCCCAGGUAAGGUUUUUCGCGUUGCAUCGAAUUAAACCACAUGCUCCACCGCUUGUGCGGGCCCCCGUCAAUUUCUUUGAGUUUUAACCUUGCGGCCGUACUUCCCAGGCGGGAUACUUAACGCGUUAGCUACGGCACUGAAGGGGUCAAUACCUCCAACACCAAGUAUCCAUCGUUUACGGCGUGGACUAC